AUUAACAUAUUAUAUUAAGGUGGUACCCAACACUUUCGCUAAAAUUACUUUGGCUCGUUUAAUAUUCAUAAAACUUUGUCAAAGUAUUUACUUUGACACUUUAACAAAAAUGUAAAAAUUUACAAAAUUUUGAACCAACCGUUUUGUCAGAAAAAUUACACUGGUUAUAUAGCAAUUUGACAAACACCAAUUUUGAUCAGUGAGAAGCUUAAUAUU
rnacentral:lncRNA from 1 species